CCUGUGUCUGCGGGGACGUAUUACAUAGAAAUUUGCUUGUUUUUUUCCCGUUUUAUUUAAUGAGGGUAGAUUCUGAUAUGCACUAAACUGAGAGCAAGUAGGAUCCUGUUCCAGUGUGUGAAGUGCCUCAUCUUAAAGGAGCUAAUGACCGGUUCAGGUCAUUAACAGGUACCUCCGCUUCACAUCAGCAGCUCCCGCACAGGCUACUCAUUGGCUUACGGACACAGCCUCGGACACAGCCUGGCUCAUGGGCGCGCAGUCGCCCAUGCGCCAAUUGGACGGACCAGCCGUCAGUCAAACUGUAUCCAUGCAACUGUGCUUUAUCAUUCUAUUUGACUCUGAAUGAGACCACAAUAUACAAAAUGCUGUAUUGAAGAAGACUUGAAACUAGCAACUGAGACCAUAAACUCCUCAGGAAAACGAUUAUUGACGAUAUAAACCAAGUAAGAGGUAGAGUCAUUUUCUCAUAGAGUCUUUGAACUCCUUAAACAUUUUUUCUUUUUUGAUUUAACCGUGUUUGUCCUUGUUAAAGCUACAGUGUGUAAUUUUUAGAAGAACAUAAAUUCACAUAA